CAAGAAUUAAUAUUUUUAACGACCAUUUAUUAACGAUAGGAAUUAAUUUUGGUCGUUAAAAAUGCACAAAUAGUGAUUCCCGCCGAAUAGAUGGAUCUUUAACGACCAAUAUUAUUUAAGUCGUUUUAGAUGAUGUUAAUCCCGUCGUUAAUAGUGUAGAUUUGGCGCUUUUUUUUUUUUUUUCGUUUACCGCAAAUUUUUUUGCAACUUUCCCACGCAACCUCUCGACUCAGCCAUUCACAGAGUCACACCCCCCUCUCUCUCUGUUCUUUCUAUAUCUCUCUCUCUCUCUCUCUCUCUCUCUCUCUCUCUCUGGCACCUCCCCAAACCCUUUGCUCUACACCUACCCCCAUUUCCCUCUUUCCCAUUCACAGAGUCACCCCAUCUCUCUCUCUCUCUGUUACUUUCUCUCUCUCUCUCUCGCCCCCUCCCCAAACCCUUCGCUCCUCUUCACUUUCCCCCUUCUCCUCCUUUCCCCAAAGUAAUCCCGCAUCCCGCACCCCACACGCUCGCGAGAGACGGCGCAUGCGAGCUAGCGACGGCGCACGCAACAAGAAGCAGAUCCUGGACGCACUACGGCACUAGCUUCUCUCACUAGUUCGUCAACACGAGCGACGGCGCAUGCGAGCUAGCGACGGCGUGCGGGACAAGAAGUGGAUCUCGGAUGCGCGCGAGCCCUCUGUCGGCCUGAAGCGGAUCCUGGACGACGGCACUAGCUUCUCUCACUAGUUCGUCGACGCUAGCCCCUCUCACUAGUAUUUGAAUUACAUAUAUAUUUCUCUUUCCAUGCUGCGAUUACAUUGGGAAGUGCAUUUUUUGCUCCACUUAUUUUCUCUCUUGCAGUCGUUAUAUUAGCUAAUGUAUAGUUAGAGGUGAGCAUGCACAAAAAAUCAGUUAAAAACAGUAAGAUUUCUUCGUAGCUUUUUUAAUUUAAAGUGGCACGUCAAAUAUUUGAUAACUUCGGAGGUUCAUUAUGGUCAUCAUGAUUUUGUUCAUCCAGGACAUAUUCUGGUGUCCGUAACAUAAAGUGACAGAGUUUGGGCCAAUUGCUAUUGAAAUUCUCAAAAAUAGGUGUGAUAGAGGUUAAUGGAAGGUCUCAGACUUGAUAAUUGGCCCAAGUAGAUAUAUUCUUUCUUCCAAAUUGUGUUCCAAUUCUUCUUUUCUUUUCGCAUUGUUUCUAUGCAUUCGAUACAUGCUUCUUUUGCCAUAAAUUAAGAAGUUUAGCGGCCUCUCUGCUUUGCACACGAGGUUAAUUAAGCAAUCUCCUUACUUUUUGAUUUAGGCUAUGCCAUAAUGUUAUAGCAGCUUUCAUCCGACAGCGGAGAAGAUUGUUCUUUUCAUCCAACAUCAGACUAUUUAGCUACUAUUAUAAGUUUUUUUUUCAUAUUCAAGUCUUGAGAAGAUUGAUCUUUUCUAACAGCGAUCUCAAGCUUGAAGUGCGUAUGAGAGGGAGGACUAUAGAACAGCUAAAGAUCUUUGCCCCUCACUCUUUCCAAAGAAAAAUUGCAGAUUGAAGCUACUUCCUCUUUUUUAUAUUCUCCAAGAUAGUUCAUGAUGAUUUUUGGGACAAGAAAGACAAUGAAUUGCAAGAUCCUUUUUUUUGUUUUUAAGUUGAUCUUUUUUUGGAAAAAUGAUGAUAGUACUUCAUUUUAACACUUUGUUCUUUUGGUGAAUGUUGACUAUAUGUGUAAUGCAGUGAUGGAAACUAAUGUGUACUAGAUGAAUGGUUAGUAAAAAAAAAAUGAAAACUGUGUAUGCUAAUUACUUUUAUUAUUAAUGAAGUUUUAUUACAAGUUUAUAAA